rnacentral:pre_miRNA from 1 species
UAUAUACUCCCUCCAUCCCGAAAUACUUGUCAGAGAAAUGGAUAAAAUUGGAUGUAUCUAUAACUAAAAUACGUCUAGAUUCAUUCAUUUCUCCGACAAGUAUUUCAGGACGGAGGGAGUACUUA